UAGUAGCCUAAGUGGUGUGGUAUGCUAACGUCUUAAGUAGUGCACACCCUAAAGACACGUCUCGCUGUUCACUUUGACUAUGCUGUUCAUAGUACAACCCUGACAACUGUCCUGCUUUCGUUUUGUGAAAAAAAAAGUGGUUGUAUUUCUGUGAACUGGACACAUGGAAGACGGUCAUAGGAAUAUUAUGAUUUAAUUGUUUUAUCGUAAUUGAUCUGGAGCCUUUCCCAGGAAUACUGGACACAAAGCAAGAAGACACCCAGGACAGGACUGGCCAUUACAUAGAGAACAGCCAUGACGGAAGGCUCUGUUUUCAGAAUGGGGAUGGAGGUGAGCAGAGAGCAGGAUGUCCUGUGCUCUCCAGCACCAUUGUGCAAAAACUCUGUCUGCAUGAGACCUGGGCUCAAGGACAACAUCCCCUCUGUCACUGAGCCCCCUACUACACACACACAUACUCACUCACUCACUCACUCACUCACUCACAGACCCAUGCUGGUCGUCAUACAAUGGGAACUUCUCCAAAAACACCCUGUGGCAGGCUAUAUAUAGAGCUCUUAGAUUAGCUUAGUACAGUAUUAGGAGGUUUAACCAACUAUUUUGGGACAGUUUUGUCACACCUAGAAUGAGUCUUGCGUGAGACUAAAAAUAACUUUAGAAAAAAAACAGUCUAGUGCAUAUUUACCCUAAUAAUAUAAUCGAUGUAAGGGCUUGGAUAUAUUGGGUCUUCAUAAUUAAACAUUUGAUGGCUUUAGCAGCAAGGAAUUAGUGUUAAAUCUAAAUUAUUAUAUUUCUGUAAAGGUCAUUUUUGACCAUGUCCAUGACCAAUGUCCAUUGUUAAUAGCAAUAUACAAAUAAAAUU